AGUGAACGCUGGCGGUAGGCCUAACACACGCAAGUCGAACGGCAGCACAGUAAGAGCUUGCUCUUACGGGUGGCGAGUGGCGGACGGGUGAGGAAUACAUCGGAAUCUACUUUUUCGUGGGGGAUAACGUAGGGAAACUUACGCUAAUACCGCAUACGACAUACGGGUGAAAGCAGGGGAUCUUCGGACCUUGCGCGAUUGAAUGAGCCGAUGUCGGAUUAGCUAGUUGGCGGGGUAAAGGCCCACCAAGGCGACGAUCCGUAGCUGGUCUGAGAGGAUGAUCAGCCACACUGGAACUGAGACACGGUCCAGACUCCUACGGGAGGCAGCAGUGGGGAAUAUUGGACAAUGGGCGCAAGCCUGAUCCAGCCAUACCGCGUGGGUGAAGAAGGCCUUCGGGUUGUAAAGCCCUUUUGUUGGGAAAGAAAAGCAGCAGGUUAAUACCCCGCUGUUCUGACGGUACCCAAAGAAUAAGCACCGGCUAACUUCGUG
rnacentral:rRNA from 1 species